GAAAAUCUUUCCUCUAUUUAUUUUUAAUAAAUAUGCAAGUAAGAAGACAUUGAAGUUUUAUUAGAUGUUUCCUUUGGUAUUUUUGUUUUGAUUUGAAAAUGCUUAAGAUACUUAGAAAAUUAUCGAAUCGUACACUGCAGCAGAAAGUAGUAAAAGUAACUUAAACUUGCAAGUCUUGUGUGUUAUCAGUGGCACCAAAUGUAUCCAUGAAACUGCUCUGCUCAGGAUGAUGGACAAAGGAACUCAUCUUCACCAUCAGCACCGGAUUCUUCCCCAGCCUCCACUGAGCAUACCUGUUGGCAAUCCUCCUGAUUUCUAUAGCAAAUGAAUUUUUAACAAUAUCCCAUAAGGAUUUGCAGUAGAAUAUACAAGUAGCCAAAAUUUUCAACAAAGCCUUUGUAGAUAAAAGUGAGUCUCUGGGUUAAUGGUAAGAGUCCCAUGAAAGGAAAUUUGCCAUGGACUUCCCAAAAAUGAGACUGCUCUUUUCCACUAAGAGAGACUAAUAAUGGCCUUUGAAACAUUAACUAUUUACUUAAAUUUAGAGAAAUCGGUGUUACCAAAAACUUUCAGCAAAUAAAAUUGAAUCUACUUCAGAGAACAGUGGUACUGGCUGAAAACCAUAGUUUACAUUCCAUCUUCAAAGUGAGAUAAUGCAGGAAUGCCAAAAAUUCAGCAGAGCCUUCUCAAGUAACAAUCUUGUCCUGAAGAAACCAUUGGGAUUUUGAGCUGUGGAAUUUUCCAUCCAUUUAUCCUCUCAUUAUCUAUCUUUUUUGCUUCAAAUGUCAAUUGACUCCUCUCACUCAUAGUUGUACAAAUUACAGGGCUUUUUUUUAAUUGUCAUAAAACAUAUACAUUAUUCAUCUAUUCAGUUUCAUCUGAAGAGAAUCCAACAAAGAAGAAAUUUUAUUUUCCAAUAAAAUAUUAAAGCUGCUUUACCCCACAAGAGACAGAGCAGAAAUUCCAUCCAUGAUCUAUGAUCCAGGCUUGAAGAAAGAACUCCUCCGGGGAACAUGCUGAACUUGUGGCAGGGGGAAAGCAGAGUGCCAACUGCCAUGGCCCUUAAAGCAUUUGCCUGGAACUUCUACUCAGACAUGGCUUACAUCACGUCCUUUCACUCCAUUGGCCAAAGCAAGUCACAUGGCCAAGUGAGAAGGAUAGAUAGAGUCCUUCCUCAGGGAAUUACUAUAAAUCGUAUGGCUACCUUGCUACCAGCAGGCAUUAUACAACCUUUAAAGGGUACAGUGAGUAGUUGUGAAAAAUACUGUAAUACAAUAUUCCAUGGAUACCAUGUUCUCUGCUUUUGUAAUCAACAGGUAGGGUUUCUGUUUUCGUUUCCAACAAACAUACUAACACUUGCUUUUUAUCAUUUCCAUAAAUUAUUUGUUUCAGAGGCAACAGGCUGCUGGAGAAAGUAUUUAAAUAUUCCCUGAAGUUCCCAGAAACUUUCCUUUUCUGGGGGAAAUGCAACAAAUACUAAACAUUCAUGACCCAUUCUAAUAUUGUUCUUCCAAAAUUAUCAUGGCCACACCAGGCUGAUUUAAAUACAUUAUUGUAGACCCUUAGAUUUUUGCUAUGUAGUAAUACUUCAAAGGAAACAAACAGCAUAAAUGCCCAGAGUGGGUUCAUUUUGUUAAACAAUGGUUUCGAAUUUUCCCAUUGUGGGUAUUACAGUCUAAGUAGAAGGAAAUUCAAUUAGAAGUGUCUGUGCUUUAUCUAAUGCUCAGCUGUCACCAUCUUGAAAUUCUUCAUAGUUUUUGAACAAAUGAUCCACAUUUUCAUUUCGCACUGGACUCCGCAAAUUAUAUAGACAGUCUGGCUUAGAAUAGAUAUUCCCUCUUCUGGAACAUUUCCCAAUACUUCCGGCGAAACCAGGUACCUCUCCUAGGUGCUCACAUAAGGCCCUGUGACUAUGGCCCUUGACGCCCUUUACUGAAAUUUAUAGACUGUCUUCCCGUCUGGCCCGUGUGUUCCUUGAAAGCAGGAACAAUGACUAAUUCAGCAUUGUAUUUUCAGCAUAUACUAUGCAACAAAUAUUUGAUGAAUAAAUUAGUAUCAGACAUUAGUGUACCUUUGUAAAAUUCCCAGUUUGUGAAACUUUUUCUCUGGCAGCUGAAAAACUGCUCAUUGCUGCUCUGGUGUUUUUCCUGUGCUCUUUGCCAGGCACUGCCAAGUAAACUGACAGCAGCAGAGUGCCAUUUUCCUACACCGUCAGGCUGCUGUGACUUUCCCUAGAGGGACCUGAGCCUUCAGCUGGAGUCUCACAUCACUUGGAUCUGUCCCCCAGAUUGACUUUUUUCCUCCCAUACAAUAUAGAAAAUCACAUACAGUAUUUCACUUAUGUUUAAUACUUGAAAUCUGUGGCUACUGCCAAAAGCAUAGGACAAAUGCAAAUUACCAUAGUCCAAAGGAAAAACUAGAAAUUUACAAAGAAUGCAUUUUUUCACAUCCCACACAGUAAUUAAUGGGUCUAUUUUCAAUUAAUAAGGUAUUUCUGAUGCACGAGAACUAAGUUCAAAAUAAAUUUCAGCAAACCAUAAAAGGAUCUACAUCUCUUUAUAUAUACUUAUCUUUGAAUAAAAAUAAACUGGAGCAUGCGUUACUCAUGUAAAAACAAAUCUGGACAGUUAACCAAUAGCCAAGUUGGGGAAAAUAUCUGUAAAAUCAGCACUCUGUAGACAGACGUAUGCAGUACGGUAAAGCACACAGACUUGAAGUACAAACAUCUGUGAGUUCAAAUCCUGACUGCUAUUUACUGGCUGUGUGAUCUUGGGUCAUUUAUUGAAACCUCUCUGAGCCAGUUUCCUCAUUUGAAAACUGUGGAUAAUAAUGUCUGUCACCUCAUAGGUCUGUUACAGAGAUUAAGAAGAAGAUAUAUAUGCAGAGCACGUAGCACAGAGCCUGAAACUCAGAAAGCCUCAACAAGUCAUAUUCACACCCUUCCAGCAGCACUAAUGCCCUAAUUCCCUCACAUUCCCUCCUCUGCCUCUGUCCCAUUCACAUUCUAUUCCUCUCUCCCCCUUCUCCAGAUUAAUCUCUAGUUACAGAUUUGGUUAAUCCCCAAUGCACAAAAGUCAAUAAAUUAUCUUUUUAAAGGAAUAUUCUCAAGCCUUUGGUUUUUGUGGAUUUAUUUCUUCAGUAAUGGAAAAUUUUCUGUACUGUUUUUUGAAAAUAUAUGAAUAAACAUACAUCAAGGAUGCCCUCUCUGACAUCAGUAAGUAACUCAGAGAUGUCAAAUAUGUAAAAAUGAAGACUUGCUUUGCUUUACCGGAAAAGAAAUGGUAUCACCAAUAACUUUCUGAUAAGAGGUGCAUUGUAUACAACAUGAACCUCUUAGAUCAUCUGAAGGGAACUGUUUUCUAUGACAUUUUUCCUCUCUAGUUACCUCAACAUUCCUCAUAAAUAAU
rnacentral:lncRNA from 1 species